GAGAGUCUCCAUCCAGCUGGAUCACUGUCACAGGCAAACCUACAAACACAACCCUUGCCCAUGAACCCUCCUCCCCCCACCUUGUGUCCAGGGUUUCCCUCCACCUGGUGGUGUUCUGUCCAUACUUCAUCUCCACUCUGCUCAUGGUAUCUUUAUAUCGAUGGAGAGCCACAGGAAGUGACCUUAUCCCUGUGGUAACAGCACCACCCACCCAAGCUAGGGAGAGACUGGCUGAAGACUGUGAUGACAUUGUUGGCGUUAUCACUGAGCAUCACUUCUGAGUUCCUGUUUAAUCUGUCAGAUUGUGGUCAUCACAUCUCUGUGAUUGAACAACGUGCGACGCCGCAGAUUUAAACUGGAAUAUUAUGCUUUGAUGAAUAAAUAAAUACAUGAAGAAAACAUGGACCAGUCAAAGACUGAAUGGUAGUAAUGGAAGUUUAAUGGAUUUAAAGCACUUGCAUGUAAUCCUUCUCCUGUCAAAAGAUUCAAACAUUGUGUAAUAAAACAUGUGACGUGUGAGAAACACCUGCACCUCUGCAAUCUGCUCACAUGUUCCUGUUAAACAGGAAGCUGAACGACUACAGUGCUGUGAACAUCUGUUAACCACAGGCUAAAAGACUGGUGGUCCUGCAAGAACAACGCCCACUGCUACCUUUCAUCUGCAAACACACACUGACUGCAGGAUGGGCAUUUAGAAACUCUGGCUCAGUUUAUAUCAGUGAGACAGGCAGUUAAAACUGAACCUGGUGUUGUGUGCUACGAACUUAACUCAUUCACUGCCAAUGGCUGGCAGUGAAUGAGUUAAACCCAUUG